GACAGAGGAGCCAAGCGUUGUCCGGAUUGACUGGGCGUAAAGAGCCCGCAGGCGGCUUGGCAAGUUUGAGGUGAAAUCUCCCGGCUUAACUGGGAGGGGGCCUCGAAAACUGCCAGGCUUGAGGCAUGGAGAGGGAUGCGGAAUUCCCGGUGUAGUGGUGAAAUGCGUAGAUAUCGGGAGGAACACCAGUGGCGAAGGCGGCAUCCUGGCCAUGUCCUGACGCUCAGGGGCGAAAGCGUGGGGAGCAAACCGG
rnacentral:rRNA from 1 species